GCCCCCAUACCCUAGGGCAAUCGCUUGCUACUCAUUAAUGGACAAAUAUGGGAGUAGAUCCAGGCCACUCGAUCUCAUCUCCAUCACGUAUUGUGCACCUCUUGACCUAAGACCUGCUCAGGAGAAUCACCUGACGACGUCGCUCAUUGUCCUCUCGAGUCUCUCAUCCCUUGCCUGAUCUAUCUUCAUCUGGAGCUCC
rnacentral:lncRNA from 1 species